AACCCGUAGAUCCGAACUUGUGUUGUGUAUUUGGUAACGCAAUUCGCCUCUCGGGUGCA
rnacentral:pre_miRNA from 1 species